CUGGGGAAAGCCAGGAUGGAAAGAAAGUUGCCACCACCCAGGUACCCAGAGUUCUGGGGCUAAAGCUUGCCUGAAUUUGGAAUCCAAGAAGAAUUUGGUCUGACUCCACCUAUACAAGAUCUAAAAGAGAAGAAACCUUCACUUCAUCUUGAGAUGAAUCUUCUGGCUCUGCAUCCUGUCUUCUUCUGUCAAGAUACCAGCAAUAUGCCUGAUAGGAGCUGUCCUCCAGUCUGGGUCUCUGGGUGAAAAGCCAAAGCCAGAUCAAUAACAGAAAUACAAGAUAAGCCCCAAUAAAAAGGCAACCGUCACUGA